rnacentral:rRNA from 1 species
CUACGGGUCGCAGCAGUGAGGAAUAUUGCACAAUGGGGGGAACCCUGAUGCAGCAACGCCGCGUGGAGGAUGACGCAUUUCGGUGUGUAAACUCCUUUUAUAUGUCAAGAAAAUGACGGUAGCAUAUGAAUAAGCACCGGCUAACUCCGUGCCAGCAGCCGCGGUAAUACGGAGGAGCGCAAGCGUUACUCGGAAUCACUGGGCGUAAAGGACGCGUAGGCGGGUUGGAAAGUCAGGUGUGAAAUCCUACAGCUUAACUGUAGAACUGCACUUGAAACUUCUAAUCUAGAGUAUGGGAGGGGGAGAUGGAAUUAGUGGUGUAGGGGUAAAAUCCGUAGAUAUCACUAGGAAUACCUAAAGCGAAGGCGAUCUCCUGGAACAUUACUGACGCUAAGGCGUGAAAGCGUGGGGAGCAAACAGGAUUAGAUACCCUCGUAGUC